rnacentral:lncRNA from 1 species
AUCCACCUAACCCCUUUCUUACCUAAACCUUCUAACACCUGAGAGAUGUUUUCACUGCAUUUCAGCUUCCAAAUGACCUUUCUCCUCCUUUGGAUUAUCGACACUUUACCCAAAUCGACAACCAUGUUCCUUAAAUAAGCUUUCAAAUGUAAGCUCAUCUGUUUAUCAUUCCUUUGUCUAUUCAAAUCCAGUGGUAAGUGUAAGUGGAAUCUCUUUUUUGUUGAGGGUGCUCGUUCAAGAUUGUAGGUAUCCGUCACCAACUAUGUAACAAACAACUUCCAACUUUGCAUUUUAUUUCUCUUCUGAAUGAACUAUCUUUGCAGGUGAAACACAUGGUGGAGUGCAAGGAAAUCUUCACAGUUCUUCCUAAUGGUGCCAAAUUCCUCCAUCAGAUUACACAUGUCAGAUCUGACCCUAUCCCCUUUAUUUUUGCCAAGUCCUUUUUAAAGGUUGUAGAUUGAUAGGCUAUUUAUCAUUUUCAAUUUUUUGUUACCUAAAGGCAAAUGGAAAUAUGCAAAUAUUCUAUGUGAAGAAACUAUAUUUUUAGCCUUCGUAGUAUAACUCCCCGAGAGUAUACCCAGGGUGUCACAUGGUGCUUACAGUCCCGAGGGACUACAAGCUAACCCAUGAGCUGGUACCUACUGUGAGCACUAAAUAAUAUAAUAACAUAUGCGAAAGAACAACUAAUAAGCCAUAAGGUUUUA